AGCUAAUAAAGAGCUAUGUCAAGAAAUAUCCUGUAGUACUGCAUUUUAUUAUUUUGUACAAAGUGUACAAAACAAGACAUGGUGUCAGAGUAAAAGGUCUUACAAGAUGGAUUUUUCUGGAGUUCCUUCACCUCGAAUGGACUUGGGAGUCUACAAAUUUACCCGAUGCAUGGCGUAAGUUCAAACAGCAUGUGGAGUUAAUGUUCACGGGUCCUCUGAAGGACAGAGGAGAAGAGGGAAAAUGCAGCUACUUGCUCCUCUGGAUCGGUGAAAAAGGGAGAGAUAUUUACAACACACGGACACUUACCGAGGCUGAAUCAAAGAAGUGACCACUCCACUAUGAUUGUCAACUCUCUCCUGACAUGAACUGAAGCCACGUCUCAUGUUCCCGCUCAUCCACUGUUACAUUUAAUGUUUCCUCUCCAAGCACUUCAACUCCUGUCCUGCACUGAAGUCAAGCC